rnacentral:rRNA from 1 species
UACGGGGGGGGCAAGCGUUGUUCGGAAUUACUGGGCGUAAAGGGCUCGUAGGCGGCCAACUAAGUCAGACGUGAAAUCCCUCGGCCUAACCGGGGAACUGCGUCUGAUACUGGAUGGCUUGAGGUUGGGAGAGGGAUGCGGAAUUCCAGGUGUAGCGGUGAAAUGCGUAGAUAUCUGGAGGAACACCGGUGGCGAAGGCGGCAUCCUGGACCGGCAUUGACGCUGAGUGAGCGAAAGCCAGGGGAGCAAACGGG